CCUACGGGUGGCAGCAGUGAGGAAUAUUGGUCAAUGGUCGGGAGACUGAACCAGCCAAGCCGCGUGAGGGAUGAAGGUACAGAGUAUCGUAAACCUCUUUUGUCAGGGAACAAAGGCGGGGACGUGUCCCCGGAUGAGUGUACCUGAAGAAAAAGCAUCGGCUAACUCCGUGCCAGCAGCCGCGGUAAUACGGGGGAGGCGAGCGUUAUCCGGAUUUAUUGGGUUUAAAGGGUGCGCAGGCGGUCUGUUAAGUCAGCGGUAAAAGCCCGGGGCUCAACCCCGGCCCGCCGUUGAAACUGGCAGUCUCGAGUUGGAGAGAAGUAUGCGGAAUGCGCGGUGUAGCGGUGAAAUGCAUAGAUAUCGCGCAGAACUCCGAGUGCGAAGGCAGCAUGCCGGCUCCACACUGACGCUGAGGCACGAAAGCGUGGGUAUCGAACAGGAUUAGAUACCCCUGUAGUC
rnacentral:rRNA from 1 species